rnacentral:rRNA from 1 species
AGCGAACGCUGGCGGCAGGCCUAACACAUGCAAGUCGAACGAACCUUUCGGGGUUAGUGGCGGACGGGUGAGUAACACGUGGGAACGUGCCUUUAGGUUCGGAAUAACUCAGGGAAACUUGUGCUAAUACCGAAUGUGCCCUUCGGGGGAAAGAUUUAUCGCCUUUAGAGCGGCCCGCGUCUGAUUAGCUAGUUGGUUGAGGUAAUGGCUCACCAAGGCGACGAUCAGUAGCUGGUCUGAGAGGAUGAUCAGCCACAUUGGGACUGAGACACGGCCCAAACCCCUCGGGGAGGAAGAGGUGGGGAAUCUUGGGCAAUGGGCGAAAGCUGGCGGCAGCCAGGCGGGGUGAAUGAUGAAGGUCUUAGGAUUGUAAAAUUCUUUCACCGGGGACGAUAAGGACGGUACCGGAGAAGAAGCCCCGGCUAACUUCGUG